CAUUCAUGGAGAGUUUGAUCCUGGCUCAGGACGAACGCUGGCGGCGUGCUUAACACAUGCAAGUCGAACGAUGAAGCC
rnacentral:rRNA from 1 species